GAAGCAGGCCGGACGGUCGCCGUGCCGCGGAUGCGGUGCGGAGGAAAGUCGGGACUCCACAGGGCAGCGUAGCGGGUAACUCCCGUCCGCCGUGAGGCGAGGAUCAGAGCAACAGAGACGAGUCCCGGGAAGGCAACGACCCGGGGGUGAAACGGGCAAUCUCUACGCGGAGCAACACCAAAUAGGCAGACGACGACGCGGCCCGCCGAGUCUGCGGGUAGGUGGCUCGAGCGCCGCGGCAACGCGGCGCCUAGAGGAAUGAUCGUCAUACCCCGCAAGGGGCGUAACAGAAUCCCGCUUACAGGCCGGCUUCACAU
rnacentral:RNase_P_RNA from 1 species